rnacentral:hammerhead_ribozyme from 1 species
AUCCAGUUGACGAGUCCCAAAACAAGACAAAACGCUUGUCCUGGAU